GGGCGAUUAGCUCAGUGGUAGAGCGCCUGCCUUACAAGCAGAAUGUCACUGGUUCAAAUGCAGUAUCGCCCA
rnacentral:tRNA from 1 species